rnacentral:rRNA from 1 species
CAGCAGCCACGGUAAUACGUAGGUCCCGAGCGUUGUCCGGAUUUAUUGGGCGUAAAGCGAGCGCAGGCUGUUAGAUAAGUCUGAAGUUAAAGGCUGUGGCUUAACCAUAGUACGCUUUGGAAACUGUUUAACUUGAGUGCAAGAGGGGAGAGUGGAAUUCCAUGUGUAGCGGUGAAAUGCGUAGAUAUAUGGAGGAACACCGGUGGCGAAAGCGGCUCUCUGGCUUGUAACUGACGCUGAGGCUCGAAAGCGUGGGGAGCAAAUGGGAUUAGAUACCCGCGUAGUCCCUGUCUCUUAUACA